rnacentral:rRNA from 1 species
CACGGGAGACACACGGCGGGUGCUAACGUCCGUCGUGAAGAGGGAAACAACCCAGACCGCCAGCUAAGGUCCCAAAGUCAUGGUUAAGUGGGAAACGAUGUGGGAAGGCCCAGACAGCCAGGAUGUUGGCUUAGAAGCAGCCAUCAUUUAAAGAAAGCGUAAUAGCUCACUGGUCGAGUCGGCCUGCGCGGAAGAUGUAACGGGGCUAAACCAUGCACCGAAGCUGCGGCAGCGAACGUAUCACUUAAAGCGAUUCAGCGGGUUACGAUUGACGGAGCGAAGCGACGUCAAAGCGUAUACAAAGUCGAGUCGGUUUAAGGAUACGUUCGUUGGGUAGGGGAGCGUUCUGUAAGCCCGUGAAGGUGGCCUGUGAGGGUUGCUGGAGGUAUCAGAAGUGCGAAUGCUGACAUAAGUAACGAUAAAGCGGGUGAAAAGCCCGCUCGCCGGAAGACCAAGGGUUCCUGUCCAACGUUAAUCGGGGCAGGGUGAGUCGACCCCUAAGGCGAGGCCGAAAGGCGUAGUCGAUGGGAAACGGGUUAAUAUUCCCGUACUUGGUGUUACUGCGAAGGGGGGACGGAGAAGGCUAUGUUGGCCGGGCGACGGUUGUCCCGGUUUAAGCGUGUAGGUGUGUGUUCCAGGUAAAUCCGGUUCACUUUAACACUGAGGCGUGAUGACGAGGCACUACGGUGCUGAAGCAACAAAUGCCCUGCUUCCAGGAAAAGCCUCUAAGCAUCAGGUAACAUCAAAUCGUACCCCAAACCGACACAGGUGGUCAGGUAGAGAAUACCAAGGCGCUUGAGAGAACUCGGGUGAAGGAACUAGGCAAAAUGGUGCCGUAACUUCGGGAGAAGGCACGCUGACACGUAGGUGAAGUGAUUUACUCACGGAGCUGAAGUCAGUCGAAGAUACCAGCUGGCUGCAACUGUUUAUUAAAAACACAGCACUGUGCAAACACGAAAGUGGACGUAUACGGUGUGACGCCUGCCCGGUGCCGGAAGGUUAAUUGAUGGGGUCAGCGCAAGCGAAGCUCCUGAUCGAAGCCCCGGUAAACGGCGGCCGUAACUAUAACGGUCCUAAGGUAGCGAAAUUCCUUGUCGGGUAAGUUCCGACCUGCACGAAUGGCGUAAUGA